rnacentral:rRNA from 1 species
CCUACGGGCGGCAGCAGUGGGGAAUAUUGGACAAUGGGGGCAACCCUGAUCCAGCCAUGCCGCGUGUGUGAAGAAGGCCCUCGGGUUGUAAAGCACUUUCAGUGAGGAAGAACGCCUGGUGGUUAAUACCCAUCAGGAAAGACAUCACUCACAGAAGAAGCACCGGCUAACUCCGUGCCAGCAGCCGCGGUAAUACGGAGGGUGCGAGCGUUCAUCGGAAUUACUGGGCGUAAAGCGCGCGUAGGUGGCUUGAUAAGCCGGUUGUGAAAGCCCCGGGCUCAACCUGGGAACGGCAUCCGGAACUGUCAAGCUAGAGUGCAGGAGAGGAAGGUAGAAUUCCCGGUGUAGCGGUGAAAUGCGUAGAGAUCGGGAGGAAUACCAGUGGCGAAGGCGGCCUUCUGGACUGACACUGACACUGAGGUGCGAAAGCGUGGGUAGCAAACAGGAUUAGAUACCCGAGUAGUC